rnacentral:rRNA from 1 species
UACGUAGGUGGCAAGCGUUGUCCGGGAUUAUUGGGCGUAAAGCGCGCGCAGGCGGUCUUUUAAGUCUGAUGUGAAAGCCCACGGCUCAACCGUGGAGGGUCAUUGGAAACUGGAGGACUUGAGUACAGAAGAGGAAAGUGGAAUUCCACGUGUAGCGGUGGAAUGCGUAGAGAUGUGGAGGAACACCAGUGGCGAAGGCGACUUUCUGGUCUGUAACUGACGCUGAGGCGCGAAAGCGUGGGGAGCAAACAGG